AUUGAACGCUGGCGGCAUGCCUUACACAUGCAAGUCGAACGGCAGCACGGGUGCUUGCACCUGGUGGCGAGUGGCGAACGGGUGAGUAAUACAUCGGAACGUACCUUAUCGUGGGGGAUAACGCAGCGAAAGCUGUGCUAAUACCGCAAACGCCAUGAGGGGGAAAGCGGGGGAUCGAAAGACCUCGCGCGAUUACAGCGGCCGAUGCCUGAUUAGCUUGUUGGUGGGGUAAAAGCCCACCAAGGCGACGAUCAGUAGCUGGUCUGAGAGGACGAUCAGCCACACUGGGACUGAGACACGGCCCAGACUCCUACGGGAGGCAGCAGUGGGGAAUUUUGGACAAUGGGGGCAACCCUGAUCCAGCAAUGCCGCGUGAGUGAAGAAGGCCUUCGGGUUGUAAAGCUCUUUUGUCAGGGAAGAAACACCGGCUCUAACACAGUCCGGGAAUGACGGUACCUGAAGAAUAAGGACCGGCUAACUACGUGCCAGCCGCCGCCGUAA
rnacentral:rRNA from 1 species